UGUCUGACAAGGCAGGCAGAGCAGCUACGUCCCAAUGGAUAAGAGCUGAAAGCAUCUAAGCUCGAAGCCAACCGCGAAAAGAGACACACUAGGCUCUCGUAGAAGACGAGUUUGAUAGGACCGAGAUGUAAGCAUCAAGGCAACGAGAUGUUCAGUCUGCGGUUACUAAACGCCUAAAAAUGAACUUCU
rnacentral:rRNA from 1 species